rnacentral:tRNA from 1 species
AGGAUUUUAGUUUAAAAAAAACAUUUGAUUUGCAUUCAAAUAAUAUUGUAAUUCAAUUUAUCUUA